rnacentral:pre_miRNA from 1 species
UGGUGACCUGAGGAUCCCUGGCUGUCACUCUGUCCCAGCCCCUCCUUGCCCGCGGGGCACAGGCUGAGUCCCAGUAAAGUCUGUGGGGUCCUGACCC